rnacentral:rRNA from 1 species
AGUGAACGCUGGCGGUAGGCCUAACACAUGCAAGUCGAACGGCAGCACAGUAAGAGCUUGCUCUUACGGGUGGCGAGUGGCGGACGGGUGAGGAAUACAUCGGAAUCUACUUUUUCGUGGGGGAUAACGUAGGGAAACUUACGCUACUACCGCAUACGACCUACGGGUGAAAGCAGGGGAUCUUCGGACCUUGCGCGAUUGAAUGAGCCGAUGUCGGAUUAGCUAGUUGGCGGGGUAAAGGCCCACCAAGGCGACGAUCCGUAGCUGGUCUGAGAGGAUGACCAGCCACACUGGAACUGAGACACGGUCCAGACUCCUACGGGAGGCAGCAGUGGGGAAUAUUGGACAAUGGGCGCAAGCCUGAUCCAGCCAUACCGCGUGGGUGAAGAAGGCCUUCGGGUUGUAAAGCCCUUUUGUUGGGAAAGAAAAGCAGCAGGUUAAUACCCCGCUGUUCUGACGGUACCCAAAGAAUAAGCACCGGCUAACUUCGUG